rnacentral:misc_RNA from 1 species
UUCUAGUCUUCUUUCUCCCUCUCUCAAAUCUAAAUUCCCCUCGCAUUUUCUUCCUCGCCUCAGCUCUCUCCAUGCCAAUUUCCCAAAAGUUCCCUCACUAUAAAGACGACGAGUGCCAGAGAGAGGACGCUGAGAGCAGAUGAGGUGCUCUGCUAUCGGUGAAACCCCUUGCCACCAUCGCCUCGCUAUCCCUGCCUUCGUGCCUUGUUGUCUAAGCUUUAUUGGAGGAUGAACGCCCGCUUACCCUUACGCCUGUCUCAAUGCUGUUAUUCAACAUUUAACGGGUCCAUCUUUCUUUCUUUUUUAAAAUUGGAGGACGAACAAAGCCAACACCGAUUUCUUGGCUUGAAAAUUUAUCAAUUAAUUAAUGGUUUUCUGUGAGUUUAAUAGGUUUUCUUAUGUGUUUUGUUAAUUGAGAUACGCUUGUGGAUUUCUUGUUCAUGGAUGGUUGAAUCUUGUUGAAUCCAAAUUGAUAUUAUUGGUUCAUUUUCGAUUGUCUUCAAUUCUCUGUGUUUUAGCUUGAUUAUUAUUUUGAAAUUUUUUGUUUUUGCCUCUUCCGAUUCUCCGAAUUUCGAACUCAAAUUGGUUUGAAAUGAAGCUUAUGUGAGGUUUGGCCGUUUGGGUAUACAGAGCACAGUUCCCUCUAAAUGGCUGGAACAAAAAUGGGAGAUUGGAAGAUGGAUCGUCCGAACCGAAUUGAUUUAUUGUGGCCUGAUUCAGUUUAGUUGUCUUUAUAGUUCGUUGUUUGGUUUUCCAUAAAAUAAAUUUCAGUUAUUUGGUUUUCUCAGAUCAUCUCGAUCAUUUGCACUGGAUUAUUUAUAGCUUUUUAAGAAUGAGUGUUAAAGAGUUUCUGAAACAUUUUGGGCUUUGUAUUUUGUUUGUGUUAUAUCUAAUGAGCGAUUUAUUAAAGCUGUCAAGGUUUCAAUUGGGUUCUUUCAUUUACAGGUCAUUGCCUCAGGCCAGGUCUAUUUCUGUUUCUUGUCACUCAAAUGGAGUACUACAAGAUUUCGAUAAACCGCCCUCUCAAGCAUCGGUUGUUUCAAGUUACUGUUCAACUGAUAAAAGCGUUGUCAGUGGGGAUCAUACCGGCUGAGUCCUGCUCAAAAGAGAAAUCCUGUUGGGCAAACAUUUUGUGCAGCCUCAGCAGGAGUAUACACAUAUGGUGAAAGUCUUCUUGAAUCUCAUUCACACAGCACAGAAGACAGGGUUGGUGUGCUGCUUCUGAAUCUUUGGGGGCCAGAAACACUUCAUGAUGUUCAGCCAUUUUUAUUCAAUUUAUUUGCAGACCCAGAUAUUAUACGACUUCCCAGGCUCUUUCGGUUUCUUCAACGACCUUUAGCUCAAUUAAUUUCUGUGCUCCGUGCUCCUAAAAGUAAAGAAGGGUAUGCUGCCAUAGGAGGUGGCUCACCUUUGCGUAAAAUAACAGAUGAGCAGGCAGAUGCAAUCAAAAUGGCCUUGGAAGCAAAGGGCAUGCCUGUAAAUGUCUAUGUUGGAAUGCGGUAUUGGUACCCAUUCACUGAGGAGGCGAUUCAUCAGAUCAAGAGGGACAGGAUAACAAGGCUUGUUGUGCUGCCACUUUACCCACAAUUCUCCAUCUCCACAACUGGCUCAAGCCUCCGUGUUCUUCAGAAUAUAUUCAGUGAAGAUGCAUAUCUGUCAAGGUUGCCUGUUUCUAUUAUACAGUCCUGGUAUCAAAGAGAAGGUUAUAUUAAGGCAAUGGCCGACUUGAUCAGGAAAGAACUAGAGCAAUUUACUAAGCCUGAGGAGGUCAUGAUAUUCUUCAGUGCUCAUGGAGUGCCUGUGAGUUAUGUGGAGGAUGCAGGAGAUCCAUACAAAGAUCAGAUGGAGGAGUGCAUUUACUUAAUCAUGCAAGAAUUAAAAGCUAGAGGAUUUGACAAUGAUCAUACUCUUGCCUAUCAGAGCCGAGUUGGGCCUGUUAAAUGGCUGAAGCCCUACACUGAUGAAGUUCUGGUUGAGCUUGGCCAGAAAGGUGUGAAAAGUCUCCUAGCUGUCCCUGUAAGCUUUGUAAGUGAGCACAUAGAGACCCUUGAAGAAAUUGACAUGGAGGACAAGCAUUUGGCUCUUGAAUCUGGCACUGAAAAUUGGGGCCGUGUACCUGCUCUAGGUUGCACCCCAUCCUUCAUUACAGAUCUGGCAGAUGCAGUGGUUGAAGCCUUACCUUCAGCUAAAGCCAUGUCAAUCUCAAAGAGUACUUCACAAGAAGCUGAUUAUGAUCCCUUGAGUUAUGCUAUCAAAAUGUUUUUUGGUCCCUUGAGUUAUGCUAUCAAAAUGUUUUUUGGUUCAAUCUUAGCAUUUGUUUUGCUUUUGUCCCCAGAAAUGAUCCUUGCAUUCAGGAACCUUCUCUUUUGAAGGUGAUAAAAUUACAAUACAAGAAAUUUCGAACAGGAUGCUCAGAUAAUUUAGUAGGUAAAGAUGGGCCAAGUUACAAAAAGUUAACGUGGAUUCUCCUUGAGAUAGUUUUAUGUUUUUACUUGUUUUAACGUGGAUUCUCCUCGAGAUAGUUUUAUGUUUUUACUUGUUUUAACGUGGAUUCUCCUC